rnacentral:rRNA from 1 species
AACGAACGCUGGCGGCAUGCCUAACACAUGCAAGUCGAACGAGGUCUUCGGAUCUAGUGGCGCACGGGUGCGUAACGCGUGGGAAUCUGCCCUUUGCUUCGGAAUAACAGUGAGAAAUUACUGCUAAUACCGGAUGAUGUCUUCGGACCAAAGAUUUAUCGGCAAGGGAUGAGCCCGCGUAGGAUUAGGUAGUUGGUGGGGUAAUGGCCUACCAAGCCGACGAUCCUUAGCUGGUCUGAGAGGAUGAUCAGCCACACUGGGACUGAGACACGGCCCAGACUCCUACGGGAGGCAGCAGUGGGGAAUAUUGGACAAUGGGGGAAACCCUGAUCCAGCAAUGCCGCGUGAGUGAUGAAGGCCUUAGGGUUGUAAAGCUCUUUUACCAGGGAUGAUAAUGACAGUACCUGGAGAAUAAGCUCCGGCUAACUCCGUGCCAGCCGCCGCGGUAA